AACUAAACAUUUAUUGUUAUGUUACAUAAUUCUAAACUUUGUAAACCCUUCUGAACGUUAUAAAGCAUAAACAAAAAUAAAAAUAAAAAUCUGUAUUCACUACGAAUUCGUCAUCCUAUUGAUUUAACUGCGAUUAUUUAUUAAUAUACAUACCCACAAUAAUAAUAUUAUGAUAUACAUGCAGUAUUACUGUGAGCCAUAGUAUUUAACGGGCGACGGGGUACAAACACCGUAUAUAUGUAAGUAUCUAUAAUAGAUUUAUCGAAACGUAACAUCAAGUACACGAGUAUUUCCAUUUUUGGAAUAGCUGCAGUUUGCCAUGCUAUCUGCCAUACUAUCGUUUAACAUUCAACACAAUGCUAUUUGGACUAUUAGGAUUAACUAAAAAAAAAAAAACAGCAAACAAUAUUCCCGUCCUACACGGGCAUUGUAUAGGUACCAACCAUAAAAGUGUUUCAAUUGGCGAUUUUCAUCAAGAUCGCGUGCAAAAUAAAUUUGUAGGUA